rnacentral:lncRNA from 1 species
CAGGAUUAGAAAAUUUCACUCUGAAAAUUUUAAAUAUGUCACAGGACCUUAUGGAUUUUCUGAACCCAAACGGUAGUGACUGUACUCUAGUCCUGUUUUACACCCCGUGGUGCCGCUUUUCUGCCAGUUUGGCCCCUCACUUUAACUCUCUGCCCCGGGCAUUUCCAGCUCUUCACUUUUUGGCACUGGAUGCAUCUCAGCACAGCAGCCUUUCUACCAGGUUUGGCACCGUAGCUGUUCCUAAUAUUUUAUUAUUUCAAGGAGCUAAACCAAUGGCCAGAUUUAAUCAUACAGAUCGAACACUGGAAACACUGAAAAUCUUCAUUUUUAAUCAGACAGGUAUAGAAGCCAAGAAGAAUGUGGUGGUAACUCAAGCCGACCAAAUAGGCCCUCUUCCCAGCACUUUGAUAAAAAGUGUGGACUGGUUGCUUGUAUUUUCCUUAUUCUUUUUAAUUAGUUUUAUUAUGUAUGCUACCAUUCGAACUGAGAGUAUUCGGUGGCUAAUUCCAGGACAAGAGCAGGAACAUGUGGAGUAGUGAUGGUCUGAAAGAAGUUGGAAAGAGGAACUUCAAUCCUUCGUUUCAGAAAUUAGUGCUACAGUUUCAUACAUUUUCUCCAGUGACGUGUUGACUUGAAACUUCAGGCUGGUCUCAAACUGCUGACUUCAGGUGAUCCACCCGCCUCAGCCUCCCAAAGUGUUGGGAUUACAGGUGUGAGCCACUGCGCCUGGCCUAAACAAACUUUUUGAAAAGCUGUUUCUAAAAGAUUCCUUAAAUUCAGAUAUGACAGCUAAUUACCUCAUCAUAAAUUACUUUUAUACUAAUUGUUUCCAGGGUUUUAGAGUAGUUGAAUGUUUAUUUCACAAGGCACCCUAAAUUCUAUAGAAAUAAAACCUCAG